GACGAACGCUGGCGGCGUGCUUAACACAUGCAAGUCGAACGGAAAGGCCCUGCUUUUGUGGGGUGCUCGAGUGGCGAACGUGUGAGUAACACGUGAGUAACCUGCCCUUGACUUUGGGAUAACUUCAGGAAACUGUGGCUAAUACCGGAUAGGAUCUCCUGCUGCAUGGUGGGGGUUGGAAAGUUUCGGCGGUUGGGGAUGGACUCGCGGCUUAUCAGCUUGUUGGUGGGGUAGUGGCUUACCACGGCUUUGAAGGGUAGCCGGCCUGAGAGGGUGACCGGCCACAGUGGGACUGAGAUACGGCCCAGAAUCGAACGGGAGGCAGAAGUGGGGAAUAUUGCAAAAUGGGCGGAAGCCUGAUGCAGCAACGACGCGUGCGGGAUGACGGCCUUCGGGUUGUAAACCGCUUUCGCCUGUGACGAAGCGUGAGUGACGGUAAUGGGUAAAGAAGCACCGGCUAACUACGUG
rnacentral:rRNA from 1 species